rnacentral:rRNA from 1 species
AACGUAGGAGACAAACGUUAUCCGGAGUUACUGGGCGUAAAGGGCGUGUAGGUGGUUUCGUAAGUCUGGCGUGAAAUAUCUCGGCUUAACCGAGGCAGGUCGUCGGAUACUGCGGAACUAGAGGACGGUAGAGGCGUGUGGAAUUCCGGGUGUAGUGGUGAAAUGCGUAGAGAUCCGGAGGAACACCAGUGGCGAAGGCGACACGCUGGGCCGUACCUGACACUGAUGUGCGACAGCAUGGGGAGCAAACAGG